UGGGGAAUAUUGCACAAUGGGGGAAACCCUGAUGCAGCGACGCCGCGUGAGCGAAGAAGGCUUUCGAGUCGUAAAGCUCUGUCCUAUGAGAAGAUAAUGACGGUAUCAUAGGAGGAAGCACCGGCUAACUACGUGCCAGCAGCCGCGGUAAUACGUAGGGUGCGAGCGUUGUCCGGAAUUACUGGGCGUAAAGAGCUCGUAGGUGGUUUGUCGCGUCGUCUGUGAAAUUCCGGGGCUUAACUCCGGGCGUGCAGGCGAUACGGGCUGACUUGAGUGCUGUAGGGGAGACUGGAAUUCCUGGUGUAGCGGUGAAAUGCGCAGAUAUCAGGAGGAACACCGAUGGCGAAGGCAGGUCUCUGGGCAGUAACUGACGCUGAGGAGCGAAAGCAUGGGUAGCGAACAGG
rnacentral:rRNA from 1 species